UCCUCUGCACCCUCUGCAGUUUAAAAUCCAGCAGGCUUUCAGGGUCCCACUCCCUGACCAGCUCAUCAUCUGCCUGUCUCUGCGUUUCUCUUUUUCCUUCAGCUGUUCCUGCUUUGAGUUCAGAGGAAAAAGAAAAAAUGUCAGACAACGAAGAAGUUGAGGAAUAUGAAGAGCAGGCGGGUAAGUCGGCAC